UGGUUCCCAAACCAGACCCCCUCUACACCCUGGCUGUGCCUAGAAAUUCUGUCCAUAAUAAUAAUGAACAGAAUCAGUGACAAAGCGGCAGCCU